rnacentral:rRNA from 1 species
AAGUCGAACGGUAACAGGUUAAGCUGACGAGUGGCGAACGGGUGAGUAAUAUAUCGGAACGUGCCCAGUCGUGGGGGAUAACUGCUCGAAAGAGCAGCUAAUACCGCAUACGACCUGAGGGUGAAAGCGGGGGAUCGUAAGACCUCGCGCGAUUGGAGCGGCCGAUAUCAGAUUAGGUAGUUGGUGGGGUAAAGGCUCACCAAGCCAACGAUCUGUAGCUGGUCUGAGAGGACGACCAGCCACACUGGGACUGAGACACGGCCCAGACUCCUACGGGAGGCAGCAGUGGGGAAUUUUGGACAAUGGACGCAAGUCUGAUCCAGCCAUGCCGCGUGCGGGAAGAAGGCCUUCGGGUUGUAAACCGCUUUUGUCAGGGAAGACAAGGUUCUGGCUAAUACCUGGGACUCAUGACGGUACCUGAAGAAUAAGCACCGGCUAACUACGUGCCAGCAGCCGCGGUAA